AUUGAACGCUGGCGGCAGGCCUAACACAUGCAAGUCGCACGAGUGGCGGACGGGUGAGUAAUGUAUGGGAAACUGCCUGAUGGAGGGGGAUAACUACUGGAAACGGUAGCUAAUACCGCAUACCAUCAGAUGUGCCCAGAUGGGAUUAGCUUGUUGAUGGGGUAACGGCUCACCAAGUCGACGAUCCAUAGCUGGGCUGAGAGGAUGACCAGCCACACUUGAACUUAGACACGGUCCAGACUCUGACGGGAGGCAGCAGUGGGGAAUAGUGCAAAAUGGGCGCAAGCCGGAUGCAGCCAUGCAGCGUGUAUGAAGAAGGCCGUCGGGUUGUAAAGUACUUUCAGCGGGGAGGCGUUACCCGCAGAAGAAGCACCGGCUAACUCCGUGCCAGCAGCCGCGGUAAUUC
rnacentral:rRNA from 1 species